rnacentral:rRNA from 1 species
AUUGAACGCUGGCGGCAGGCUUAACACAUGCAAGUCGAGCGGGGGAAGGUAGCUUGCUACCGGACCUAGCGGCGGACGGGUGAGUAAUGCUUAGGAAUCUGCCUAUUAGUGGGGGACAACAUCUCGAAAGGGAUGCUAAUACCGCAUACGUCCUACGGGAGAAAGCAGGGGAUCUUCGGACCUUGCGCUAAUAGAUGAGCCUAUGUCGGAUUAGCUAGUUGGUGGGGUAAAGGCCUACCAAGGCGACGAUCUGUAGCGGGUCUGAGAGGAUGAUCCGCGACACUGGGACUGAGACACGGCCCAGACUCCUACGGGAGGCAGCAGUGGGGAAUAUUGGACAAUGGGGGGAACCCUGAUCCAGCCAUGCCGCGUGUGUGAAGAAGGCCUUAUGGUUGUAAAGCACUUUAAGCGAGGAGGAGGCUACUUUAGUUAAUACCUAGAGAUAGUGGACGUUACUCGCAGAAUAAGCACCGGCUAACUCUGUGCCAGCCGCCGCAGUAA